UACGUAGGGGGCAAGCGUUGUCCGGAAUUAUUGGGCGUAAAGGGUUCGUAGGUGGCCAACUAAGUCAGACGUGAAAUCCCUCAGCUCAACUGGGGAACUGCGUCUGAUACUGGAUGGCUUGAGAUUGGGAGAGGGAUGCGGAAUUCCAGGUGUAGCGGUGAAAUGCGUAGAUAUCUGGAGGAACACCGGUGGCGAAGGCGGCAUCCUGGACCAACACUGACGCUGAGGAGCGAAAGCCAGGGGAGCAAACGGG
rnacentral:rRNA from 1 species